GACGAACGCUGGCGGCGUGCUUAACACAUGCAAGUCGAACGGAAAGGCCCUGCUUUUGUGGGGUGCUCGAGUGGCGAACGGGUGAGUAACACGUGAGUAACCUGCCCUUGACUUUGGGAUAACUUCAGGAAACUGGGGCUAAUACCGGAUAGGAGCUCCUGCUGCAUGGUGGGGGUUGGAAAGUUUCGGCGGUUGGGGAUGGACUCGCGGCUUAUCAGCUUGUUGGUGGGGUAGUGGCUUACCAAGGCUUUGACGGGUAGCCGGCCUGAGAGGGUGACCGGCCACAAUGGGACUGAGAUACGGCCCAGACUCCUACGGGGGGCAAGAGUGGGGAAUAUUGCACAAUGGGCGGAAGCCUGAUGCAGCAACGCCGGGUGCGGGAAGACGGCCUUCGGGUUGUAAACCGCUUUCGCCUGUGACGAAGCGGGGGUGACGGGAAUUGGUAAAGAAGCACCGGCUAACUACGUG
rnacentral:rRNA from 1 species